rnacentral:rRNA from 1 species
UUCGUAGGCGGUGCGGCAAGUCGGGAGUGAAAUCUCUGGGCUCAACCCAGAGGCUGCUUCCGAAACUGCCGUGCUUGAGUGUGAGAGAGGCUCGUGGAAUUGCAGGUGUAGCGGUGAAAUGCGUAGAUAUCUGCAGGAACACCCGUGGCGAAAGCGGCGAGCUGGAUCACUACUGACGCUGAGGAACGAAAGCUAGGGGAGCAAACAGGAUUAGAUACCCUGGUAGUCCUAGCCCUAAACGAUCAGGACUUGGGGUGCCGCCCGUUCGGGCGUCGUCCCGGAGCUAACGCGUUAAGUCCUGCACCUGGGGAGUACGGUCGCAAGACUGAA